CCUACGGGGGGCUGCAGUGGGGAAUAUUGGGCAAUGGGGGGAACCCUGAUCCAGCCAUGCCGCGUGUGUGAAGAAGGCCCUCGGGUUGUAAAGCACUUUCAGUGAGGAAGAACGCCUGGUGGUUAAUACCCAUCAGGAAAGACAUCACUCACAGAAGAAGCACCGGCUAACUCCGUGCCAGCAGCCGCGGUAAUACGGAGGGUGCGAGCGUUAAUCGGAAUUACUGGGCGUAAAGCGCGCGUAGGUGGCUUGAUAAGCCGGUUGUGAAAGCCCCGGGCUCAACCUGGGAACGGCAUCCGGAACUGUCAAGCUAGAGUGCAGGAGAGGAAGGUAGAAUUCCCGGUGUAGCGGUGAAAUGCGUAGAGAUCGGGAGGAAUACCAGUGGCGAAGGCGGCCUUCUGGACUGACACUGACACUGAGGUGCGAAAGCGUGGGUAGCAAACAGGAUUAGAUACCCGAGUAGUC
rnacentral:rRNA from 1 species